GUGUCACUGUAUCAAUCAAAUAUUAAUGGCUUGAUUUCUCAUAUGUUGAUUGAAUGGAUAGAAAGUUCUAUCAUAAUUUACUCACCCUCAUGUUUUUCCAAACCUGUAUGAUUUUUUCCUUCGUGAAACACUCAAAAGAAGAUGUUAGGGAGAGUUUUAGGGACUGAUAGCCUCAGUCAUUAUUCACUUUCAUUGCAUCUUUUUUCCAUACAGUAAAAGUGAAUGGUGACUGGGACUGUCAGUCUCUAACAUUCUGCCUCCUUUCGUGUUAAUGACAGAAUUUUCAUUUUUGAGUGAACUAACCCUUAAAGGGACAAGGUUAGUCUUUGGAAAGUCUCACAGUUCUAGUUAGUUUUGAUCAUUAUAGUCUAAUCUACAGUAGAUUGCAGCUAAUUCUGGCUGAGAACCACUCACUUAAACAAAAAGGCCCCCUUAGCGACAUGUAAAGUGACAAAAUACUGUUUGUUUGUUUUUUCAUAACAUUACAUGAGUGGGUAAAUUGGAAAUCGGAAAACUCUAAGAACAAAACAGAAUAUACUGUUGUCCUCAUGGAUAUCUUGUUUACUCCAGUUACAGCCAAUUCUUGCCAUUUUUGCAUGCACUAUGCAUCAGGUGUUUCUUGGGCACUCCAUCUAAAGCCUAGGCUACAAAAAAGGUUCUUUGGGGUUCUAUUUAGAACCCUAGGUUUCUUUACUCAGCUCCAAAGAACGCUUUAUGCCAAAAAGGAUCUAUUUAAAAAGAUUAACAGAAGAAAAAAAAAAAAAAACCUUUUGCACAGAAGGGUCCUUUGGGUUGGCAGUUGCUUAAUGUGAGUAUGUAUGUAUAUAUGUAGGAAAGUAUGUGUGUGUGUGUAUCUGUGUAUGUAUGUAUGUAUGUAUGCAUAAAUUACAUUAUUGAAAGUUUUGUUUAUAAAUAGUUUUGAACACUACACUACAUUACUUUUGCAUUUGCAUUUCAUACUGCAGAAAAAAUACAACUUUUACAAUGCACUUCUACAGCUUUGGGUUUGAUUAGAAAACAAUAAAUGACAGAUGAUCAGAUCCAAUGUCCUUUCUCUUUUUGAUGACAUGUUUAUCUUAGUAUUAAUAUACAGUCGAUGGUAUAGUCUAUUCUUGACUCAUAAUUCAACAAAAGAUGCAAUACAUUUUGUUUAUCAUAAUCAACAACUUGAGCAUGUAGCGCUAUUUUCCCCCUCCUAUCUAUAUAAGGGAUAGUUAGCUUACACAAGCCGCGUGCUCACAGACAUGAACGCACGAGCAUCUUAUUUCAAAUUUUAACGGUCACAGAAAGUCGGUUGAGCUGAAAGGCCGUUGUUACCUUGGUAAGUAAGAUAAAUUAAUUAAUUUGUUGAUUAACUUUGUUAUUUUUAUUUAUUUUGACCUAACUGCUUGUUAUUUAUGACUUGCAUGUUUAUUUCAGCAAGCACAAUGAAUAAAUGUCGACAAAACUGUUUCGUCUAGGCCUGCGAUAUUCUCCGCCAGGAGAAAACGUGGGGAAAAUGAAACAAUUUUCCAGGAGCACAUCACAGCAUUGAAUUAAGCUGACUGCACUGAUAUAAAGAGAUUAAUCAAGCUCUAUUCAAGAGUGUGAAUAUGAAAAAAGUCAAAGAGAGGAAGUGAUGGAAAUGUUUCAAUUUCUCAACUUGUGAGUAUUUGGUGUGUGUAGCCUACAAAAAUAUGAUAAUUAUGUAUUGUUUUGUUUUUUUUAAUGAAGAUGCCAUAUUAAUUUGACAUGGGUUUUAGCAAAGGCCUUUACCUAACUCAGAGCACUUCUGAAGUUCUGAACAUCAACAUAAUCAGAGCCAUGAGAAGUGAAAGUCAAAGGGGACAUUUGACUUCAAAACAAUGACAUAAACAAUGUCAUAAAAAGUAGAUAUUUGUCUAUUAUUUCUCAUUAUUUUGCAUUACAUCAAAGUUUUUAAGAUACUAAAUAAUGGUUAAUUUCUGUUUGCAGUGGCUCUGGAGUGCAGCAUUACUAGUUUGACCAUCUUCAUUCAGAUAAAACAAUAAACUCCUAUUCAUGGAUCAGCACAUUCCUCCUCAGAGAGUGCAGAGAGUCAGCAUCAAACUGAUGACAAAGUGAAAUGAAGUUUUGUUUAAUUUGUUGUAUCCAAAAGACCUCACUCAAUUUGUCAGACCAGUGGCAACAAAAUAAUUCUGUAUCUGCCCCAGUGCUAAAAUUGAUUAACAGGAUUUUAUUGGUCAUUUGUUUUUAUUUAUUUUUGCUUAGUUUUCUACUUGUUUAUUAAUCUUACUUAUGUUAGAAUGGUAACUCAUAGUUAAUGUUAAAUUAUUUAAUGUUUAUGAUUUUUAUAUAAAUAAUAUUAUUACUAAUUUACUUUUAGCUUAUUACAAACCUUUGGAUUUAUUAAGUCACUUCUCAUAACUAUUGCAUUAUGAAUUGUGUUAAUUAUUGCUUGUGUUGUUGUAAAUACAAACUAUU